rnacentral:misc_RNA from 1 species
UAAAUUGCGAUAAGUAGUGCGAUACGCACAUAUUGAACAUCGAAACUUCGAAUGCACAUUGCGCUGGUGGAUCUUCAUGCCAUUAGCACAUCUGGUUCAGGGUCAUUACUCAGAAUGAGACGGUGAUCUCACUGUUUCUCGCUCAGUUCCAUCGUAUGCAUGCGAACUGUCCUUGAAGUAAGGAAACACGCUUGGUUGCGUCUAAGGUUUGGUAAUUAUGAACCGUGUGGGAUAGGCGAUAGCUUCUUUCCUCUGUCGUAGUACGCUAUUCCAAUGGCAAUAAGUAAGAGCGAUUCUUAUACGUGACCUGAGCUCAGGUGUGAGUACCCGCUGGACUUAA